UCCUGGUUAACCCAGGCAGUCUCGCUAGAGUUCCCAUCUUUACAUGUUGGCAACUAACGAUAAGGGUUGCGCUCGUUGCGGGACUUAACCCAACACCUCACGGCACGAGCUGACGACAGCCAUGCAGCACCUGUGCAGCAGUCCCGAAGGAAAACUCCAUCUCUGGAGUCGUCUACUGCAUGUCAAGCCUGGGUAAGGUUCUUCGCGUUGCAUCGAAUUAAACCACAUGCUCCACUGCUUGUGCGAGUCCCCGUCAAUUCUUUUGAGUUUCAGCCUUGCGACUGUACUCCUCAGGCGGUAUACUUAACGCGUUAGCUCCGGCACAGCUAGGGUUGAGUCCAGCUACACCAAGUAUACAUCGUUUACGGCAAGGACUAC
rnacentral:misc_RNA from 1 species